rnacentral:rRNA from 1 species
GACGGACGGUGCAAGCGUUGCUCGGAAUUACUGGGCGUAAAGCGCACGUAGGCGGCUUCUUAAGUCGGUGGUGAAAUCCUGGAGCUCAACUCCAGAACUGCCUUCGAUACUGGGGAGCUCGAGUCCGGGAGAGGUGAGUGGAACUGCGAGUGUAGAGGUGAAAUUCGUAGAUAUUCGCAAGAACACCAGUGGCGAAGGCGGCUCACUGGCCCGGUACUGACGCUGAGGUGCGAAAGCGUGGGGAGCAAACAGG